GAAAUCUGAGUUAAUCCCCCGUAAGACUACGACGUGGCAUCAUGAUGUAGUUAAAGCUCCGGGGGGUAAGGAUGGGCAUGCGGUACAUGAGCUAGGUGGUGAGGUAAUGGGUCACCAAGGCUACGAUGUAUAGGGGGUCUGAGAGGAUGAUCGCCCGCGCUGGUACUGAGACACGGACCAGACUCAUACGGGAGGCAGCAGUAGGGAAUAUUGGUCAAUGGACGCAAGUCUGAACCAGCCAUGCCGCGUGAAGGAUGAAGGCCCUCUGGGUCGUAAACUUCUUUUAUUAGGGAAGAAAACAUGGGAUGCGUCCCAAACUGACGGUACUUAAUGAAUAAGGAUCGGCUAACUUCGUGCCAGCAGCCGCGGUAAGACGAAGGAUCCAAGCGUUGUCCGGAUUUACUGGGUUUAAAGGGUGCGUAGGCGGAAAAUUAAGUCAGUGGUGAAAGCCCGCAGCUCAACUGUGGAACUGCCAUUGAAACUGAUUUUCUUGAAUAUAGCUGAGGCAGAUGGAAUAUAACAUGUAGCGGUGAAAUGCUUAGAUAUGUUAUAGAACACCGAUUGCGAAGGCAGUCUGCUAAACUAUUAUUGACGCUGAGGCACGAAAGCGUGGGGAGCGAACAGGAUUAGAUACCCUGGUAGUCCACGCCCUAAACGUUGAUUACUCGCUGUUGGCGAUAUACUGU
rnacentral:rRNA from 1 species